CACGUAGGGGGCAAGCGUUGUCCGGAUUUACUGGGCGUAAAGCGCGCGCAGGCGGCUCUUUAAGUCUCAGGGUGAAAGACCGGGGCUCAACCCCGUGUCAGCCCGGGAUACUGGGGAGCUAGGGACAUGUAGGGGCGAGCGGAAUUCCGGGUGUAGCGGUGGAAUGCGUAGAGAUCCGGAAGAACACCGGGGGCGAAGGCGGCUCGCUGGGCAUGGUCCGACGCUGAGGCGCGAAAGCGUGGGGAGCGAACAGG
rnacentral:rRNA from 1 species